AUUUGUUGUGCAUAGUUUUGUGUAUUUAUUGAAUAAGGUUAACAAUGUUAUUCAAAUAAAGGAGAUGGCCAAAUAACAAAGCAAGAUCAAUGAAAUUUUUGUUUUCAAUAGUGCUUAGUGAAUUUAGGAAAAUCUAUUUAAAAAAAUAAACUUCAUUUGUAGUGUGUUCCUGAAGUUCAUUUCUUACUAAAUUCUUGUUAUUAAUUCUACUUGUCCCAUAUUAAAAGAAUUGCAAUUAAUUUUUUAAACCCAGAUGAUUUUUAGUGUCUCAGAUAUAAAAUUUAUUAAUGUUAAUAUAUACAGAUUUUAUUUGAUUUGAAUUAAAAUUCCGUGGAUUAUUAUAACAAAUGAAGUUUUAAUUUUGAUUCUCAUUUCAAAUGUUCAAUAAUAAAUUCUUACAGGACAGAAUAGAAUUCAAUGGGACACAUUUUCAUGAGCAAGUAUAAAAGAAUACUUUGUACAAUUCUGUAAAGUCACUUGAUUUUAUUUCAAUAGACAUUUAUUUUUACAUCCCUCUCACUUUUACUCAUUAGAUGACUGACAAGUCCAAUUUACUUUAUUACACAGUUGAAGUUUAGAUAUUGUCAAGAACUGCUCAAUAAAAACUGAAUUGUUGUUUGGCCAUCCCAGUAAUUUAAAAUGUAGGAACAAAUAAUAAUCCAAUGAAUAUUAAAAAACAAAUCAAAGGAAAAUUAAGCUUUUUUUAUAUAUAGCAAUCAAGUUGUAUUUCAAUCAUUAUUAUUUGAGAAAAAAAAAAAAAUUCUAACUACCAGUAUUUCAAACAGUUACAUAGAUGGUCUAAGCAGCAUUUGCAACAAUAAUGCCUAAAACAAUCUUGCAUUGUUGCUUUAAAAUAAUUCUAAAGCAUGCACACAAAUCAAAGUUAAAACAAAAUAAUUUUUUUUUGGUUGCAUUUGCAAUUAAUAAUGUUAUUUUCCCUUUUAUACGAAAUGAUAUGUAUUCUAAGAAAAACACUGUAAAGCGAAAGAUAUAAAAGGGAAAGGAGUGGUAGGCAAAAAGACUAAUAAAUUACAAAUCUUCGGGGGGAGGGGGUGAAAAAUUUGUCAUGAUCAAUUUCUUCACUUUUAAAUUAAAGGUGAUAUAAAAAAAAAACAUUUAUAAAAAGAAAAGUUAGUCCAACAGUAGUGACAUGCAGACAUUAAAAAGUUGGGAAAUUCAUGAGAUAAUGGGGAAUGCCAAUGAAACUGAUAAUAUCACCACUUCAAGAGACAAAAUUGAUAGAAAGUAGAUCAAAAGUAGGAUCACAGUAAGCUUAUCAAAACAGGUGGUCUUCAAAAUGUAACAACUUUCACAGCAAAUGUGAUGUUGAAAUACAAAAAUUUAUAAGGGAAACAAAGAAACAGACGUUUGCCAAUUUGAGCAUGAUAUUUAUAAUUAUGACUUUUUAAUGCAUUAGAUAAAUAGUACAAAAAUGGUAUAGUUCUUUAACUUCUUUAAGAGAAUUUAGUAAAACUUAGUAUCAGAAGUAACAUUACCUAUGACCCAUUCUGAUGCAUUUUAGUAGUAAAAAUGACAACUGAAUUUUUUAAAAUGAUCUUUUGUUUUAAAAUUCAAAAGGAUAUUCUGUGGCAUUACACUACUUCACAAGUCUAAACAUCAACAUUAGUAAGAGUAGGAGGUAGUUUUAAAAAAAAAGGCUCACUUACAUCAACAGGAAAAUAUUACAUAGUAAUUUUGAACUCAAGAUACACUUUAAGGAAAAAUGGUUUGAGAAAUAGUUGUAUGAAUUGUACACAUUAAAUUUGAACAUUAAUAUUUUCAAAAUCACAAUCAUUAAUACUUAAAAAUCCUACACUUACUGGACUCAAUUGAAUGUAGAUGGGUCUAACAGGAAAAAUAAAUAUAUGUUAGUAGAUAACAUUGAAUUAAUUUAUUAGGUCAUUUUCACCAAAAAUUUAACUUUGAACUGAAAAAUUCAACAUUCACAAAACAUUGAAACAACAGAUUAUUCUUAAUUAAUUUUUUUUUUUUUGCAUCCAAAAUCCUGAACAAAAGAAACUAAUGGCCUGAUGAAAAAGUAAAAGUGUAAAUAAAUAAAUUGUAAGGAAACCAAAAAAAAAAGAAUACAACAUUCAUUGCAGCUACAAAGUUAAAAACUAUAAACAAAGAAUGAAAAAUGAGGUUGUAGAAAACAAAAUGUACAGUUUCAAGAAUAAAAAUAAAAAGUAUGAGCAAGAUCAACAGAAAAAUCUUUAUCUUUACAAGGUCAGAAAAAUCUUUAUCUUUACAAGGUGUACGUUAAUUAGCUCUCUUAUAAGCACUCACAAUAAAAGCUUGCACCCUCUCUCUAUAAAACACACACAAUUAUCUGAAAUCUUUACAAAGCUAAUUUAAUAGCUGAUUUAAAUGCUUCUGCUAAGUUUCUACUAAAUUAAGAAUCAAUUAAAAAUCUAUUAAUUUUUGUAUUGUUUUUUUUUGUGACAGUGUAAAGUACAAAACGAAAAUAAAGGGAAGUAAGACUUUAAAAAUAAGUUGGCAGGGUUUUAAAAAUUCAAAAAAUUGGUAGUGCAAAAAGUUUCUAGAAAGUUAAAAGUGCAGAGUUAUUUGUGGUUCAUACAUGUGCAAUAACUAGCUUGUAUUUUGUAUUCAUCUAUAAAUAUACGUGAUAUCUGUAUCCACUGUAUUCUAUGAAUUACUUUUCUCAUAUAUACAUAUAUUAAUUAUAUAAUAAUUAAUAUAUAUACAUAUAUAUAUAUAUUAAUUAUAUAAUAAUUAAUUAUAUAUAUAUAUAAUAUA